ensembl:lncRNA GOT1-DT GOT1 divergent transcript
GGCUGAGGGGAGGAGCCGAGCGAGCGGCGGGUGUCCCUGAGAGGCCACCUUUCGACCUUCGAGGGCCAGGAGGAUACGGGGAGGUGGCCGGAGGGAGUUCCCGAACACAGGUCUUCCUGUUCCCGCCGAGCAGGUGUUGGCGGUGCCAGGCCCGGCCUGGCGGGCCCGGGCUGGCAGCCAAAUACCCAGCGUCUGUGCUCGGGACGGGAGUGUUCGUCCAGGACGUGCAGCUCCGGAGCCUGCGCGGGCGACCUUGACCACCUUUGUCGGCUGUUUCCCCCUGAGGGAAGUAUACCUGUCCUGCCAGCCUUGGUCUCUGGCAGGGAAGGUCCUUCCAACAGAGAGGGGUGCGCACGAAUUCCUUUUUGCCGCUCUUCUAUUAAUAGUUUGAGAUUUUCCUCCCCGAUUCCUUGCAGAGAGGGCCUGGUCCUCAAGGACCUCGGGAUCUGGGCGCGACGUCCCUUCCCAGCUUCCUCCCGCGCGCACCGGACCAGAUCUUGCUGUCGUCAGCUGGCUGGUACCCAAAGUUCCUCUUCGUCAGGCUGUUCCUUCCCCGUUAGAGUCCUUCCUCCCCAGGAGCCCUCUCCAUCUGCUGACCUUCAAGACCCAGAGCGAAUGCCACUUCAUCCAUGAAGCCUUCCCUUAACCCUUAUCUGGCCAAAAUGUCUCUUUCCUGUGCUUCUGUACUUUCACAAUUUUAGAAAAUGCCUUUGUGGUUAAAAACCUAUCUCCGGGACCGGACUAUCUAGGUUUAGAUUCUGGCUGCCGCUUACGAAUUUGGGCAGGUUUAGUCAAGUUAUUUUAACCUCUCUGUGGAAGUUCCUGCUCUGUGGAAAUAAUAGUAUUUUCCUCAGAGUUGGUGUGGGGAGUUUGUGAGUUAAUACAUUUACGAAGUGGUUAGUUGCAUGUAAGAAGGACUCUCUAAAUGUCAGCUAUUAUUAACAUUGCAUAUCUGCCACACCCUUCAUAGAUGGUAAACUGCUUUUUUUUUUUUUUUUACUUUUAUUUUAGGUUCGGGAUACAUGCACAGGUUUGUUUUAUAGAUAAAUUGCUUGUCAUGUGGGUUUGUUGUACAAAUUAUUUUGUCACCCAGAUAGUAAGCAUAGUACUUGACAGGUAUUUUUUCUGAUCCUCUCCCUCCUCCCACCCUCUAGCCUCAAGUAGGUCCCAGUGUCUGUUGUUCUCUUCUUUGUGUCCAUGUGUUCUCAAUGUUUAGCUCCCACUUACAAGUCAGAACAUGCAGUAUUUGGUUUUCUCUUCCGCAUUAGUUCACUUAGGAUAAAGGCCUCCAGCUCCAUCCAUGUUGCUACAAAGGACAUGAUCUCUUUCUUUUUUAUGGCUGCAUAGUAGUCCAUGGUGUAUAUGUACCGUAUUUUCUUCAGUCUACUGGUGAUGGGCAUUUAGGUUGAUGCCAUGUCUUUACGAUUGUGAAUAGUGCUGCAGUGAACAUACAUGUACAUAUAUCUUUAUGGUAGAAUGAUUUAUAUUCUUUUGGGUAUAGACCCAAUACUGGGAUUGUUGGGUCGAAUGGUAAUUCUGUUUUAAGUUCUUUGAGAAAUCGCCACACUGCUUUCCGCGGUUACUGAACUAAUUUACAUUCCCACCAGCAUUGUAUAAGCAUUCCCUUUUCUCCACAACCUCACCAGAAACCAGCAUCUGUUAUUUCUUGACUUUUAUUAAUAGCCAUUCUGACUGGUGUGAGAUGAUAUCUCAUUGUAGUUUUGAUUUGGGUUUCUCUAGUGAUUAGUGAUGUUGAGUAUUUUAUAUGCUUGUUGGCCAUGUAGCUUCUUUUGGCUAGGGACCUGUGAGUCUCCCUAGGUUUCUUGCACUUACUAAGCCUUCAACAAAUGGUAGAAGAGUCAAUUCUCUUGGUGUUUCAGAAGAAAACAAUAUCACAGCCCCUCUCCACUGGAUAAUACUAUAAAUCUUAAAAUGAAUUUUCAUUCAGAGUAAUAAACACAAGCCAAAGAACUUUGUAUAACAUCCGUCAACUUUUUGUGUUAUCUAUUUCUUUUCCAAAACAUUGCCUCUGGUUUUAAAGGUAACUGCCCACAGUGUUUCACUAAUAACAUUUUAAGCAUUACAAGUUCAACACUGAAGGUCAAAUGACAACGAACUUUCAGUGCUUCCAAAAGCAGGGGCAGAGGGCAACUGCUGAGGGGGGCAUUGUAUAGCCUAACCUUCCCAGAAUUUGAUUUAAAAGUAUGAUCUUCACAGCGUUGGCCAGCAAUAUCAUGGUCACUCCCUACGUCAUUCCCUGGGAGAAAAACAACCCUAGGUUACCUAAACAAUGUUGGCGAAGACCAAAUAUUUAUUAACAUCCUAAGCCGCCCCAUAAUCAAGCCAAUGCUGAUAGGGACAAAGAAGGUGCCAUGUGCAGUUUUUCUCCAUGUCCCCACAAUAUCUGCUCUGAAUUUUAAAAGGCAAUUACUGGGGGAGAAGGAAGCCUAUAUAUUAUGUAGGAUCCAAGUCUCAAACUGCUUUCCUAGGGAGUGUGAGGUUCUUGGAGAUUAAGUGCAGUACCUUUCUGUCUUGAGCCUUGUAGGCUGCCCCUCUAAUUUAAUGCCAGUCUUGAAAUAAACAGAAUGCUUUCCAAGUCAUCGCUAAUUUUAACACUUUAAAUUUAGAAUUGCUUAGAAUUGACUCAACACUGCCUCCUUGCUGAAUGGAUAAUUCAAGCAAACAACUCAAGAGCUGGAUGCUGCCCAGACAGGUAGGCAGCCAGAUAAAGUGAGUGUCCAGGGAAAGAGCAGUAAGGGUCAGAAGAGAAAGAGCCUGGUGUUCUCACUGCCUCCUGCCUUCCUUAUGACUGUCUGUUCAGAAGUCCUCCUAGCAUCUUUCUUCUGCCUUCCCCUGCUCCUGUCCCUGAAACCUUUUCUUCAAAAGAAGUGGAAAAGAGGAACUGGGAACCCAUAUAGCAACAGCAUCACCUGGAAUGAAUUCCUUUAGAACAUACUGUCUUGGAAAUCUGAAGCCUGCAGGGCUGGACAGGCAAGAAGAGCAGUGAGCACUGCAUGAACCUAGUCUUGCUGUGUCGCCCAAGCUGGAGUUCAGUGGCACCAUCCUGGCUCACUGCAACUGCUGCCUCCCAGGUUCAAGUGAUUCUCCUGCCUCAGCCUCCCGAGUAGCUGGGAUUACAUGUGCCUGCCACCACGCCUGGCAAGUUUUUGUAUUUUUAGUAGAAAUGGUGUUUUACCAUGUUGGCCAAGACUGGCCUAGAACUCCAGACCUCAAGUGAUCCACCCGCCUCAGCAGCCCAAAGUGGUGGGAUUACAGGCAUGAGCAACUGUGCCUGGCCUAGCCAUUUUCUAUAAACCUGAAAAUAGAUGCCAGAAAAGAAGGUGCCGCUAUAAAAUGCUUUCUUGAGUGAUUUAUGUCUAACAUACAAUUAAACAUUUAUGAGAAGGAAAUUAUCAGGUUAAAAUAUAAACUCACUUGCCAAUUAUUUGAUUUUCAGGAUAUCUGACUUUUGUUAAUUACUGAAAAUAAA